rnacentral:rRNA from 1 species
UACGGGGGGGGCAAGCGUUGUUCGGAAUUACUGGGCGUAAAGGGCUCGUAGGCGGCCAACUAAGUCAGACGUGAAAUCCCUCGGCUUAACCGGGGAACUGCGUCUGAUACUGGAUGGCUUGAAUCCGGGAGAGGGAUGCGGAAUUCCAGGUGUAGCGGUGAAAUGCGUAGAUAUCUGGAGGAACACCGGUGGCGAAGGCGGCGAUCCUGGCCGGCAUUGACGCUGAGGAGCGAAAGCCAGGGGAGCAAAC